rnacentral:lncRNA from 1 species
GUCACCAUAGUCUGAUUAUCAUAUUCAACUAACUAUAAACAACCUACAUAGAGGGUAAAAGAAGAAAAGUAUUUUAGCUGAAAAAGGGAACUUAGAUCCACAAUUUGGCAAAAGAAAUAAAAAUAUAAUUGCAUAUUUCUUGCUCAAGGUAUUUGUAGUACAUAGAAGGUAUUUUUAGUACAUAGAUCCCAAUACCUAUUCCAUAAGAAUACCAAGUUUGCAUCCGUUUCUUCAGUAGAACAGUUGUAGCUAUAGGCAGCCCGAGUGCUAGUCCAUAAUGAUCAGCCAAUGCUGCUGUCUCGCC